rnacentral:rRNA from 1 species
GGGUUGUGAGGUUAAGCGACUAAGCGUACACGGUGGAUGCCCUGGCAGUCAGAGGCGAUGAAGGACGUGCUAAUCUGCGAAAAGCGUCGGUAAGGUGAUAUGAACCGUUAUAACCGGCGAUGUCCGAAUGGGGAAACCCAGUGCAAUUCGUUGCACUAUCGUUAACUGAAUACAUAGGUUAACGAGGCGAACCGGGGGAACUGAAACAUCUAAGUACCCCGAGGAAAAGAAAUCAACCGAGAUUCCCCCAGUAGCGGCGAGCGAACGGGGAGCAGCCCAGAGUCUGAAUCAGCUUGUGUGUUAGUGGAACGGUCUGGAAAGUCCGACGGUACAGGGUGAUAGUCCCGUACACCAAAAUGCACAGGUUGUGAACUCGAAGAGUAGGGCGGGACACGUGGUAUCCUGUCUGAAUAUGGGGGGACCAUCCUCCAAGGCUAAAUACUCCUGACUGACCGAUAGUGAACCAGUACCGUGAGGGAAAGGCGAAAAGAACCCCGGCGAGGGGAGUGAAAAAGAACCUGAAACCGUGUACGUACAAGCAGUGGGAGCACCUUCGGGUGUGACUGCGUACCUUUUGUAUAAUGGGUCAGCGACUUAUAUUCUGUAGCAAGGUUAACCGUAUAGGGGAGCCGCAGGGAAACCGAGUCUUAACUGGGCGUUAAGUUGCAGGGUAUAGACCCGAAACCCGGUGAUCUAGCCAUGGGCAGGUUGAAGGUUGGGUAACACUAACUGGAGGACCGAACCGACUAAUGUUGAAAAAUUAGCGGAUGACUUGUGGCUGGGGGUGAAAGGCCAAUCAAACCGGGAGAUAGCUGGUUCUCCCCGAAAGCUAUUUAGGUAGCGCCUCGUGAACUCAUCUUCGGGGGUAGAGCACUGUUUCGGCUAGGGGGUCAUCCCGACUUACCAACCCGAUGCAAACUACGAAUACCGAAGAAUGUUAUCACGGGAGACACACGGCGGGUGCUAACGUCCGUCGUGAAGAGGGAAACAACCCAGACCGCCAGCUAAGGUCCCAAAGUCAUGGUUAAGUGGGAAACGAUGUGGGAAGGCACAGACAGCCAGGAUGUUGGCUUAGAAGCAGCCAUCAUUUAAAGAAAGCGUAAUAGCUCACUGGUCGAGUCGGCCUGCGCGGAAGAUGUAACGGGGCUAAACCAUGCACCGAAGCUGCGGCAGCGACACUAUGUGUUGUUGGGUAGGGGAGCGUUCUGUAAGCCUGCGAAGGUGACCUGUGAGGGUUGCUGGAGGUAUCAGAAGUGCGAAUGCUGACAUAAGUAACGAUAAAGCGGGUGAAAAGCCCGCUCGCCGGAAGACCAAGGGUUCCUGUCCAACGUUAAUCGGGGCAGGGUGAGUCGACCCCUAAGGCGAGGCCGAAAGGCGUAGUCGAUGGGAAACAGGUUAAUAUUCCUGUACUUGGUGUUACUGCGAAGGGGGGACGGAGAAGGCUAUGUUAGCCGGGCGACGGUUGUCCCGGUUUAAGCAUGUAGGCUGGUUGUCCAGGCAAAUCCGGAUAAUCAAGGCUGAGGUGUGAUGACGAGGCACUACGGUGCUGAAGUAACAAAUGCCCUGCUUCCAGGAAAAGCCUCUAAGCAUCAGGUAACAUCAAAUCGUACCCCAAACCGACACAGGUGGUCAGGUAGAGAAUACCAAGGCGCUUGAGAGAACUCGGGUGAAGGAACUAGGCAAAAUGGUGCCGUAACUUCGGGAGAAGGCACGCUGGUGUGUAGGUGAAGUCCCUGCGGAUGGAGCUGAGACCAGUCGAAGAUACCAGCUGGCUGCAACUGUUUAUUAAAAACACAGCACUGUGCAAACACGAAAGUGGACGUAUACGGUGUGACGCCUGCCCGGUGCCGGAAGGUUAAUUGAUGGGGUUAUCCGUAAGGAGAAGCUCUUGAUCGAAGCCCCGGUAAACGGCGGCCGUAACUAUAACGGUCCUAAGGUAGCGAAAUUCCUUGUCGGGUAAGUUCCGACCUGCACGAAUGGCGUAAUGAUGGCCAGGCUGUCUCCACCCGAGACUCAGUGAAAUUGAACUCGCUGUGAAGAUGCAGUGUACCCGCGGCAAGACGGAAAGACCCCGUGAACCUUUACUAUAGCUUGACACUGAACAUUGAGCCUUGAUGUGUAGGAUAGGUGGGAGGCUUUGAAGCGUGGACGCCAGUCUGCGUGGAGCCAACCUUGAAAUACCACCCUUUAAUGUUUGAUGUUCUAACGUUGGCCCCUUACCGGGGUUGCGGACAGUGUCUGGUGGGUAGUUUGACUGGGGCGGUCUCCUCCCAAAGCGUAACGGAGGAGCACGAAGGUUAGCUAAUCCUGGUCGGACAUCAGGAGGUUAGUGCAAUGGCAUAAGCUAGCUUGACUGCGAGCGUGACGGCGCGAGCAGGUGCGAAAGCAGGUCAUAGUGAUCCGGUGGUUCUGAAUGGAAGGGCCAUCGCUCAACGGAUAAAAGGUACUCCGGGGAUAACAGGCUGAUACCGCCCAAGAGUUCAUAUCGACGGCGGUGUUUGGCACCUCGAUGUCGGCUCAUCACAUCCUGGGGCUGAAGUAGGUCCCAAGGGUAUGGCUGUUCGCCAUUUAAAGUGGUACGCGAGCUGGGUUUAGAACGUCGUGAGACAGUUCGGUCCCUAUCUGCCGUGGGCGCUGGAGAAUUGAGGGGGGCUGCUCCUAGUACGAGAGGACCGGAGUGGACGCAUCACUGGUGUUCGGGUUGUCAUGCCAAUGGCACUGCCCGGUAGCUAAAUGCGGAAGAGAUAAGUGCUGAAAGCAUCUAAGCACGAAACUUGCCCCGAGAUGAGUUCUCCCUGAGACUUUAAGUCUCCUGAAGGAACGUU